rnacentral:rRNA from 1 species
GAGUUUGAUCAUGGCUCAGGAUGAACGCUGGCGGCGUGCUUAACACAUGCAAGUCGAACGAACCUUCGGGUGAGUGGCGGACGGGUGAGUAACGCGUGGGAAUCUGCCCUCAGGAGGGGGAUAACGGCUGGAAACGGCCGCUAAUACCCCAUAUGCCGAGAGGUGAAAUGAAUUUCGCCUGAGGAUGAGCCCGCGUCUGAUUAGCUAGUUGGUGAGGUAAGAGCUCACCAAGGCAUCGAUCAGUAGCUGGUCUGAGAGGAUGAUCAGCCACACUGGGACUGAGACACGGCCCAGACUCCUACGGGAGGCAGCAGUGGGGAAUUUUCCGCAAUGGGCGAAAGCCUGACGGAGCAACGCCGCGUGAGGGAUGAAGGCCUCUGGGCUGUAAACCUCUUUUCUCAAGGAAGAAGAUCUGACGGUACUUGAGGAAUAAGCCACGGCUAAUUCCGUGCCAGCAGCCGCGGUAAUACGGGAGUGGCAAGCGUUAUCCGGAAUUAUUGGGCGUAAAGCGUCCGCAGGCGGCCCUUCAAGUCUGCUGUUAAAACGUGGAGCUUAACUCCAUCAUGGCAGUGGAAACUGUUGGGCUUGAGUGUGGUAGGGGCAGAGGGAAUUCCCGGUGUAGCGGUGAAAUGCGUAGAUAUCGGGAAGAACACCAGUGGCGAAGGCGCUCUGCUGGGCCAUAACUGACGCUCAUGGACGAAAGCCAGGGGAGCGAAAGGGAUUAGAUACCCCUGUAGUCCUGGCCGUAAACGAUGAACACUAGGUGUCGGGGGAAUCGACCCCCUCGGUGUCGUAGCCAACGCGUUAAGUGUUCCGCCUGGGGAGUACGCACGCAAGUGUGAAACUCAAAGGAAUUGACGGGGGCCCGCACAAGCGGUGGAGUAUGUGGUUUAAUUCGAUGCAACGCGAAGAACCUUACCAGGGUUUGACAUCCUGCGAACCUCUUGGAAACGAGAGGGUGCCUUCGGGAACGCAGUGACAGGUGGUGCAUGGCUGUCGUCAGCUCGUGUCGUGAGAUGUUGGGUUAAGUCCCGCAACGAGCGCAACCCACGUCUUUAGUUGCCAGCAUUUAGUUGGGCACUCUAGAGAGACCGCCGGUGAUAAACCGGAGGAAGGUGUGGAUGACGUCAAGUCAUCAUGCCCCUUACAUCCUGGGCUACACACGUACUACAAUGCUACGGACAAAGAGCAGCAAGUUCGCGAGGACAAGCAAAUCUCAUAAACCGUGGCUCAGUUCAGAUCGUAGGCUGCAACUCGCCUACGUGAAGGAGGAAUCGCUAGUAAUCGCAGGUCAGCAUACUGCGGUGAAUACGU